UAGGACAUUGAGUUGGAAGAGAAGCCCAC
rnacentral:piRNA from 1 species